GAGUAGUUUCAUGUGUUACUCACAAAAGUAUUCGUUUUGAGUUCAAAGAAUGAGUAACAAUGAAGGAAAUGUUGUUUAUCGCCAAGAACUGGCUUACUUCCUCAGAGACAAUAUUAAUGAAUCGGCUAGACGAGGAAAGCAACCGACAACAAUAUUAUUGAAAAAGAAAAUCUUUUCUUUUUCAUUUCCUACCGAUUUUGAUGUUACAUGUUUUUUUGGUAUAGACAAUAUGUUGUCUAAUCUUACUCAAUGGAAUGUUCAAUGUAGAAUGAGAAAUUCGGGAAUGUGCGAUAUGGUAUAAAAAAGUCUUAUUUUUCUUUCUGCA